rnacentral:rRNA from 1 species
GAUGAACGCUAGCUACAGGCUUAACACAUGCAAGUCGAGGGCAGCAUGAAAGUAGCUUGCUACUUUUGAUGGCGACCGGCGCACGGGUGCGUAACGCGUAUCCAACUUUCCCGUUACUCUCGGAUAGCCUUCCGAAAGGGAGAUUAAUACGAGAUGGUGUUCAAAUUCCGCAUGUUAUUUGAACUAAAGAUUCAUCGGUAACGGAUAGGGAUGCGUGACAUUAGAUAGUUGGGGGGGUAACGGCCCACCUAGUCUACGAUGUCUAGGGGUUCUGAGAGGAAGGUCCCCCCACACUGGAACUGAGACACGGUCCAGACUCCUACGGGAGGCAGCAGUUGAGGAAUAUUGGUCCAAUGGUCGGAAGACUGAACCAGCCAAGUAGCGUGAAGGAUGAAGGUUCUAUGGAUUGUAAACUUCUUUUAUACGGGAUAAACACUUACGUGUAGGGUCUUGUAUGUACCGUAUGAAUAAGCAUCGGCUAACUCCGUG